rnacentral:lncRNA from 1 species
GCAUUCCCUUCCGUCUGAAAGAAAACUGCUUGCCGAAUCCGUUUAAGAGCCUUUAGUUUUCUCAGGCCGUCAGGUAUUUGAGGCCGAGAAGGAGCGUUUUGUUCUUGAAACAAUGGACUAAAUGCAAAGUUAUACUCGCAAUGGGAUACUUAGUUUGAGCUAUUCCCCCCGGGAAAUUUUCUUUUGUUUUGCUUUGUUUUUAAGAAACUUACUGAAUCCUAAAGCCUUAAUCUCGGCUACCCUGGUUUGCCUUACAGUUGCAGUUAGACCGAGCCGUAUCAGACCACACCCAGUGAUGCUGUGCCGUAGCCACGGCGGAGCACUGUGUAUCCCCCGCUUCAGCGCCCCAGCAAGCCGCAGUUGCCGGCCGGAAGCAUUGUGUAGUGCCCCUUGUUUCAGUCUUGGCAGAGAAAAAGGAGCCAGAGGAGUAACUAGUGUUUUCAGCCCUAAAUCCCUUCUGGCUCCAAUCCUGCACCUUCUUUCCAUGAACUCCGCCCCCCUCCUCACCAAGUACGCAUUUAGGACAGGAGAGUUUAUUUUUUGCUUCAUCCAAGAAAAGUUCUCAGCAUCCUAGAAUCAUGUAUCGCAUCUGUCCGAUAAGACUGGACUGAAAUGGCUGUAAUGAAUUAAUUUUUUAAAGAGAUGGUUGCGAGCCCUUCUUCUAAAGUCUGUAUCCACUAAAUCCUGUAUUCACCAAAUAUUCAGAAUCCAAAAUGUAAAUUUAAAGCAUAAAAUGAUUGCAAGUAAAGAAAAAAAAGAAACCAGUUGGGGGGUAGAACGAGGAAAGCAAAUCUGUCAGAGCGGAAAAAUCAAAGAAGAGACAGUAGGCUGGAGCUCUGAGACUUCAAGCCAGUUUUAUGGACCAACAGAUUGGCCAGGAGUCGGGAGAGAGCUCAGGUUCUCCGCUGCUUAGGGAGCAGUUAGUGAUGUAGGAAAAGGGGUAGUUUCUAUUUUCAGCACAGGUUUGUUCUUGGGCUAGGUCAGUAUUCAAGGGUUAGGGGGAGGCAGUUUCCUUAGGAAUGUAAGUAAUGGUUUUGGGUGGGGGGUAGAGGGCAGUUGUAAAAGAACAUCGUCUGAUGAAUGACUCUUUAACUGGUCUCCAAGGCAGCUCAUUGUUCCCCAGGGGAUCAGCCUUCUAGAUUUUAAGUCUGAUUAGAGUUUAGGUGGUGCAUAGCAGGUCAUGUACGAUUCCCCACCUAAGAAAAUCCAUGUAGAUAAAUGAAGUUUCUAUUUCUGCAGCAUAAUGGGAAAUUGACUGGACAUGGAUUUGCACCAGAUCUGUGGGAAAAGCCAGACUUAAAAAUAUGUGUUUAAUGACAUCUAUGAAAUAAACUCUGUGGGAUAGAGGGGUUUUAAAGAGACAGGCAUUCAUAUUUCAAAGCAUCUGAAAUGGAAAUGUGAAAGUUUUCUAUUCCUGAUGAUAGAGAUAGACAUGACUCACAACAUUCAGUCAAAAUAGGAACCUUGAAAUAUUAAGGGCAGGUACUCAGUUUAAUUUUUUAAAUUAACUGUUUCUCGUGUGAGAAGUAACUAGGAUCUAGUGCGCUCCAGAGUGAACUGCAACAGGAAUUUACAUAAGAAUGACAAAUAAUUUUCUAAGGAAACCUGGAUAACAGCUUGUGGGUAAAAAAGUACAGAGAGAAGGCAUACAGGCCAAGGGACAAUGUUCAUCUGUCCGUUGGACAUUGAUAUGCUGCCUCGGAUGGACCGUUUAAGUUUAUAUCUGCUGGGGAUGGAGAGCUUCUUAUAUUCACAGUCAGGCAGCUGGAAUAAUCUGUCCUAAGUCUGUAACUCUUGGGAAUGUAUACAGACCCACUUAGGGUCCAAAAGACAGAUAUUGGAGGAGCCGAUUCCUCUAAUCGUUGUGUGGGAGUUGCUACCAAGGGAUCUGAGUCUGCUGAGCUUGGAGGAAUAUUCCCAGCACCAUGGUAAGUUCCAGUAGGGGCACUACUUGACCAUAUAGCAUUUUGGGGGGAAUUAGAAAAAAGAUACUCUUUCAUCAAGGCCAGUGGUUCUCAACCAGGGAUAAUUUUGCACCCCUAGAGGACAUUUGGCAAUGUCUGGAAAUAUGAAUGUCAGGACUGAGAAGGAUGGCCCUUGUAGCUAUUGAGUAGAGGAUAGAAAUGCUGCUAAACAUCCUAUAAUGCACAGGGCAGCUAUUGAUAAUUCUUAAAGAAUUAUCAAGAUUAAAAUGUCAGUAAUGCCAAAGUUGCAAGAUCCUACACUUGUAACAUGUAGCCCUGAAUUAGGAUUUUUGUCUCCUUUCACUCUGUGUUCCCAGUGUAAGGCAUAACUGUGCAAAUACUACUGUCCUCUCUGGGCUUAGAGGAAGGUUGAAAAUGGAAUCAACAGGGAGGUUUUACAGGCUUUUAAGAGGAGGAUUCUUCAGUAGAAAAGACUGUCAAGAAGAUUGUUGUAUAAUAGAGACAGUAUACAAGCACAUAAACAUAUAAACAUACUAUUACAAAUUGUAAUAAGUGCUAUGAAGGUGUAUUAGUUUGGCUCCUGCAGGAAGCUGAUGGUAAGAUGGAAUUCGGAAUACAAGAGACUUGUUGAGAGAUAUGGCCUGUGAAAGUUUAAGGGGGAGGAAAAAGAAUUGGGUCUAGUAAAUCCUUAGGCUUUAAUGCAGAUCUGCCAUUUGUGAAAGAAAAAAGGAGUAGGAAGCAGAAUUGGGCCUGGUAAAUCUUUAGGCUUUGAUGCAGAUCUGCCAUUUGUGAAAGAAAAAAGGAGUAGGAAGCAGAAUUGGGCAGAGGGAAGGAACCAAAGAUUGCAAUACAGAUUGACAAAGAAUUGGCUAAUGCAAUAGGGAGUAUGGAGGUAGCCCAUCAGAGGAGGUCUGCAGUGGGCAGAAACCAGAAAUGGGCAGGCCCUGAAAUCCAUCAUGCUGGAGGUGGGAAGAACAUGCCUUGCCUCAAAGGCUUAAUUUUUUUUUUAGUUGACAUAUAACAAUGUAUUAGUUUCAAGUAUAGAACAUAAUGAUUUGAUAUAUAUAUGUAUAUAUAUAUAUCUAGACAAUGUCUAGUUAACAUCUGUUACUGCACAUAGGUACAAUUUUGUUUUUCUUGUGAUGAUAAUUUUUAAGAUUUACCAUCUUAGCAACUUUCCAAUAUAUAAUUUAACAUUUUUAACUAUAGUCAUUAUGCUGUGCAAUACACAUCUAGAACUUAUUUAUAACUGAAAUUUUAUGCAUUUUGACCACCUCUUCCUUUUGUCCACCUUCAACCCACACCUCUGGCAACCACCAAUCUGUUCUCUUUAUCUAUGAGUUCAAUUCCUUUUUUUUUUUUUUUUAAGAUUUCAGUAUUGUGAGAUCAUACAGUGUUUGCCUUUCUCUGACUUAUUUCGCUGACCAUAAUGUGCUCCAGCCCAGCCAUGUUGUUGCAAAUGUCAAGAUUUCCUUCUCUUUGACAGCUGAAUAAUAUUCCAUUUUAUAUAUACCUCACACUUUGUUUAUUCACUUAUCCACAGUGGACACAAAGGUUGGCUUUAUGUCUUGGCUAUUGAAAAUGAUAUUGUGGUCUGUGCUUGGGAUGGAAAAAUUGUUUUCAGACUUAGAGUGGGGUGAAAGAAGGAAAAGUUUAUUGAGAAAAGAAACUGCUCUUGCAGUGGGAAGACUUCCUGAUAAUCAGGGAGAGCUGACUCUGAGCAGGUGUCAUGUCUGUUUUUAUAGCCCAAGGUCAAAGGAAAGAGGAGGUCUUACUCUACACUUGUUGGUUGGUUACCUCUAAUGCCCUUAUGGGGAUCAGGCGAGGACUGGGCCAAAUACCUUUCCUAGUAGGAGGCAGGAAGGAGUGGGCAGGAUUGUUCAGGAGAGGCUGGAGAACUCUGCAACAGUUGUAAUGGGGUGGAAGGAGCAAUAAUUGGUAAUUUUAUCCUGGCAACAUUGGUAUCCCGAGACUCUCUUUGAGUCUAUCUUGUUGGAAAGGCCUUGAAGCCCACAGAUAAUGCCACAGUGAACAUGGAGAUACAGAUAUCUUUUCAAGUUAGCCUUUUUUUCUUUAGUUAGAAACAGGCAGUGGAGUUUCUGGAUCAUGUGGUAGUUCUGCUUUUAAUUUUUUAAGGAGUCUCCAUACAGUUUUCUAAAGUGGCUCCACCAAUUUACAUUCCUACCAGAAAUACACAAGAGUUCCUCUUUCUCCACAUACUUGUCAAUACUUGUUAUCUCUUGUUUUUGUUGAACCCCUAGUAUCAUCAUGGAUACUAGUUGGGUUCGUUACCCCUGCAUCACAAUGGGAACUCCUCUUGUCUUUUCAAAUUACAGCCAUUUUAGCAGGUGUGAAGUAGUAGCUCAUUGUUUUGAUUGGCAUUUCCCUAAGGAUUAGUACUUUUGAGCACCUUUUCCUAUACCUCUUGGCCAUUUGUAUGUCUUCUGUGGAAAAAUUUCUCUUCAGUUUCUCUACCCAUUUUUACAUCAGAUUGUUGUUCUCCUGUUGAGUUGUAUGAGUUCUUAGUACAUUGUGGAUAUUAGCCCUUUAUAAAGUAUAUGAUUUAUAAGUACUUUCUCCCAUUCUGUAGGUUUUUUUUUUUCAUUUAAUUGAUGGUUUCCUUUGAUCUGAAAAAGCUUUUUAGUUUGAUGUUUGUUUAUUUUUACAUUUGCUGCCUUCACUUUUGGUGUCAAAUCCAAAAAAUCAUUGUGAAGACCAGUGUCAAGGAGCUUAUUGCCUAUGUUUUCUUUUAGAAGUUUUAUGGUUUCUUGUUUGUUCAAGUCUUUAAUUAUUUUGAAUUAAUUGUGUAUAGUGUAAGAUAGUGGUCCACUUUCAUUCUUUUACAUGUGGCUGUCCAGUUUGCUCAACAAUAUUUAUUUAGGUCAAAGGUUUUAACAGAUCCUGAAAAAAAAGUGCAGUUAGAGUCUGUCAGGUAGCUGUACUCUUCAUAGAGUCGUGACACUCUUUCAUGAAAAGAGAUUAGAAUCACACAUUUCCGUGACUGUCACCAGAGGAUAAUUAAAAGUGUAUGAGAGGAGUUCCUGUCAUGGCUCAGUGGUUAAGGAAUCCCACUAGGAACCAUGAGGUUUCGGGUUCGAUCCUCGGCCUGCUCAGUGGGUUAAAAGAUCCGGCGUUGCUGUGGCUGUGGUGUAGGCCAGCAGCUACCGCUCUGAUUAGAUCCCUAGCCUGGGAAACUCCAUAUGCCGCAGGAACGGCCCUGGAAAAAGGCAAAAAGACCAAAAAAGAAAAGUGUAUAAGAAAAGAAAUUUAUUUUCAAUGGCUUUUAAUUUUUUUGUUGCAAUCCUCAGUAAGACAUGUGUUCUACAUUUUAACCUAAUAAAUACAAAAAUAUAUAUAACUAAAAAAAAGAGAGUUUUUAAAACAUUACCU